CAGUGUAUUAUUUCUGCAUGAGUGAAAGUUGGUUAAAGAUAAGAUUAAUGAUAGAUCAAGUUACAAGCUCCCACACAAAUGUAUAGAAACAACCCCAGGUGGAAUUUGGGUCAGUUAAGAUUAUAUAUGCAGGCAAACAUCAGGUCAGAUGCAAAGAAAUAGUUCUUGCCUAUUCUCUUCAUUAAUUGAAAAAAAAAGAAGUGUUUAUAGAAAGGAUGUUUUUUCAACAGCUUUUCAACUUAAGGAUUUGACACCUUCUUUAGCUGACCAAGAAAGUGUAUGUGUGGGAUCAAUUUAUCUGUGUAGUAAUACCAAAUUUUGAAAUCUGGCAUUUGAUGAGUCAGCCUGGGAGAAACUGGAAACACAUUGUGAGAGGUACCUUCUGUGAAAAAAGUGCAACUUGGUGACAUGAUCUGCCUGCCGGACUGUAUACCUGAGCAGCAUACAGCUUAUUACUGCAUAAAAGAAACAUAUCAAGAUAAUUUUGAAUCAGAUUGUGUGCUGGAAAAAUGGCCUUACAUCCAAAGGAGUGAAAUUUGGAGAGUCAUUCGCCAUCUACUUAAGCCAUCCUGGAAUAUGAAAAAAUAAGACUGCAUUGACAACAUCCUGAUCCUCGUGUUCAAAUCUUUUGUGAUUUCUUGUGAAGAGUCUUUGAUUUUUCAUAAAAAUAAAAAAUAUAUCAAUAUAAUUUGAUUUUUGCUUACUACUGAGUUUUUUCAGAUUCAGCAGGUGCAGUCGAUUUCCACUAGUUGCCACGUAUUUUCCUACUAUUGCCAGCUAUUUGGUGGCAUUUAGUGGAAAAUAGGACUGCCACCAUAGUGGCGUUUUGGUAAAAUUUUGUCUGCUUACUGCCACCUGUUAGGUGGCAAUUGGUGGAAGCAAGUGGCGUUUAGUGGAAAAUAUUUUUACACCAUAAUGGUGGCAUUUUAGUGAUAAUUUGUCUAAAUACUCCACUUACUGCCACCAUGAAGGUGGCUAUUGGUGGAAUUAAGUGGCAAACAAAUUUUCCACCAUAAUGGUGGCAUAUUGGUGUAAAACUGUCUAAAUACUCCACUUAUUGCCACCUAAAGGUGUACACAAGUGGAAAGAGGUGGAAUUUAGUAGAAAACAGGUUUGCCACUGUCCUGUUCAUUUUUUCACCAUUUUGGUGGCAUUUUAGGUGGCAUUUUGGUGGAAAAUUGUCUAAAUACUCCACCAUUGAAAAAGGUGGCAUUAUAGUGGCAAAUCUAGGGAC